rnacentral:lncRNA from 1 species
GCAGACAUAUUAUAAUAAAUCUAAGAUACAAUUUUAUACUUAAUACAUUGAUUUGAUUAAUAAAAGGACAAGUUUGAUUUUCAUUCAAAAGUGAUGUAUCUUUGAGUCAUCCUUGGAAUUAAUACUUUGAUAUAUAUUCUUAAAGUGUUGAGAAUUAAAGGCAUGUAUAAAAUUUCUAAAUACUUUCAGUCAUAGUAUCAUUAUGAGAAUGGUGAUCGAUUCAGAU